GAGAUCUAAAUUUGCAGUAACUAGUUCACCGAGUUUGAAAACUCUUGCUUCUUACGAAACUUUAACUGCUGAUAAUUUUAUGGCUAAUGAUAUCGUAGGGAAAAAGAAAAAUAUCAUAAAAUGAACAUAAUAUAUAUGUUUUGACCUUUUGUAAUGCAGAUGCAUCAUUGAUCUUUCAAAAACAUGACAAUAUCAAUUGAUUCAAACUAGUUAAUAAUAUAAAUAAAACUUAACAACAAUCCACAUAAUACAUUCAAAAAAAUUUCUAACGGAGCCGUUAUAUAUAAGUAGAUGAAUUUCAUUUCAAAUGCACCAAAGAGCCGUUCUCUUCAAAAUUCCAAAAAGGGAAAAAAUAUUUUUUCUUAAUAUAAAAUACAAAAAAAUAGUUAAACAUCUAACCUAUACUAAAAGGGGAAUAUGAUGAGUAGAGAGGGAUGCCACGUCCCCAAAUAAAAUCGACCAAUAAAAAUGAUUUCUGAUGCCAUGUCAUUUCGUUUCCAUCGGACAUGAAAUUCACAAUUUCUCUACUGGACCCUCCAUCAUCUACGGCCCAUUCAUUAUCACAAAUUAAAACCCUAAAAUGGUAAUACCCAUUGUCGAUCCACUUUCUUCUUCUCCGUUUCCUCAUCCUCAAAAUUCCAUCACUAUCAAUCAAUCUUCUUCACUACCCUCUCAAUGAAUCCGUUUCCUCUCCCUCUCUUGGCUCCGAAUUUCUCCGCGGUUGCGGCAAUGCAGUGGUGUGCUAAAGCGUUUGACAUGAGAGACAUACUUCCGACAAAAGGUAAGCCUCUUGGUCCGGGAAUCACGGUGGUUCGGUGACAAAAGGUAAGCCAUCCAACGGAAAGGUAGGAGUAUACAAUAUUUUGUGCUCUAUAUUGAUUAUAUGACUUGAUUUUUGAUUGCAUUUGUAUAUAGAAAAUUCUUCUGUCUAUUAUUAUUGUUUGUUUCUGAUGGCGGUGGAUAUUGGGUUAUGCAGUGCGUUCAUGAAGGAGAAGAUAAAGUGAGUUAUAUUUAGUUUUUGUACAGCAUCAUCUUUCACAGUGCCUUGAACAAGACAUGAACUAAGAUCGCUUGAUCUCAUGGAGCCAACAUAACCAUACUCAUAAAGAGGAAAGAAGGCUGAUCAUCAGCAGGACACAAGAAGUCUCUCCUCUCACUGAUUUUUAUGUCAGCAACCUUUUCCUUGAAGCAGGUCUUCCUCUUGGUGUUCAGAACAUAGUUUCUGGAUUUGGUCCAAUCGCAGGUGCUUCCCUCACGAGCCACAUGGAUUAGGCUGUUACGAAAUUUGUUAAGUUCGCCGUCGCGUUUUGUUCUGACGCAUAUGUGUAAAAGAAAGCUGGUACUUUUUGCAAUUUUUUUUCAAGGUGGAACUCCAUCCAUGUCGCGUUCACCCACAUGGCUGAGCCUUCUACUCACUCACAAAAAAAAACACUGGACAUCAGACGGUGAAUCAAGAGCUUCAGAAGAUACAAUAGAAUAUACACAGUAUGAGUACAAAAAACAGGCGGUUAUAGCGUAAGAAGCGCAACAGCAGGUCGCGAUGGAGCUUGAUAUGACAUGGAGUGUCAUUGCAGAGCUAAAACUGGAACUAGCAUUGGCCGAGAAAGAACAAGCGACACAAGACUCUCAUCUUGCGAAGCUGAGAGUACAGGAAAUGGAGCAAGAGAUAGCUGCUGUGUCGAGUGUUGCAGCCAAAGCACGGCUUGAUGUGGCUAAGCGAGACAUUUGUCAACAGUUUCUGAGCUAGGAAAUGUAAGAGAAGAGAGAAAUGGUCUCUAACUUAUAGAAGUUAAGUCAAAUUGAGAAAGCAAUUUCUGAGGUGAAAACGUUGAAGAUCAUCGUCGGAUCAUUGCAUGAACGAGAGAAGAAAUAUCUCUUAGAAACCCAACAUAUAGAAGCUAUAUCAGUUCAGAGGAACAGCAAAGAAGCAAGAGAGGAGAUAUGCACAUAAAUAGACAAGAAGAAGCAAGAACUUAACAAAGAAGCAGAGGAAGAAAAGCCACUUGCUUUAGCUGCUCAAGAGAAGCUCAAAAAGGUGAAAGAAGAGUCAGGGGAAGCGAAGACAGGAGUCUGCAAUAUAAAGUCAGUUAGUUGAGGUGGAAGGGGAAGUGAGUGCCGUGAUGGAAUUCAUGGACCAUAGUCAACUACAAUGUGGUCACUGAAGCCUUCGGGUGAGGAAGAGUCUUGAAACAAAUAGAAUAUUUAUUUAGGAUCAGAGAGAAUAAAACAAAGUUGCAUUCACUACUUUGUAAUUUUAUAAGGAUUUAUGACACAGAAAUGAUUUAGAAAGGUACUUUUCAAAAAUUUACAAAA